GACGAACGCUGGCGGCGUGCUUAACACAUGCAAGUCGAACGGAAAGGCCCUGCUUUUGUGGGGUGCUCGAGUGGCGAACGUGUGAGUAACACGUGAGUAACCUUCCCUUGACUUUGUGAUAACUUCAGGAAACUGGUGCUAAUACCUGAUAGGAGCUCCUGCUGCAUGGUGGGGUUUGGAAAGUUUCGGCGGUUGGGGAUGGACUCGCGGCUUAUCAGCUUGUUGGUGGGGUAGUGGCUUACCAAGGCUUUGACGGGUAGCCGGCCUGAGAGGGUGACCGGCGACAUUGGGACUGAGAUACGGCCCAGACUCCUACGGGAGGCAGCAGUGGGGAAUAUUGCACAAUGGGCGGAAGCCUGAUGCAGAAACGCCGCGUGCGGGAUGACGGCCUUCGGGUUGUAAACCGCUUUAGCCUGUGACGAAGCGUGAGUGACGGUAAUGGGUAAAGAAGCACCGGCUAACUACGUG
rnacentral:rRNA from 1 species